CCUGAAAACCUGCAGCCUGAUAAGCCGUCCUGCUGGAAGUUUCAGCCCUCUUAUCCAUAGGGUCUUUCAGACCAGAAACUUCCCCAGUAGGUAUGGUAGUUUUUUUAGACAAUUGAGCCACUUGUACAUCAACUACCGGCAAUUCUUCCCAUUUAUCUUCCUCCUCCAUUUUAACAAUACUUUUAAAAUGUCUGGAGAUAAAAGUAUUCUUCCAGGGUUCCUCCAUUCUCUG